AAACCUACGGGACGCAGCAGUGAGGAAUAUUGGUCAAUGGGCGGGAGCCUGAACCAGCCAAGUCGCGUGAGGGAAGACGGUCCUACGGAUUGUAAACCUCUUUUGCCGGGGAGCAACGGGGUCCUUGCGAGGGCCCGAUGAGAGUACCCGGAGAAAAAGCAUCGGCUAACUCCGUGCCAGCAGCCGCGGUAAUACGGAGGAUGCGAGCGUUAUCCGGAUUUAUUGGGUUUAAAGGGUGCGUAGGCGGACUGUUAAGUCAGCGGUAAAAGCCCGGGGCUCAGCCCCGGCGAGCCGUUGAAACUGGC
rnacentral:rRNA from 1 species